rnacentral:tRNA from 1 species
GGUUCGGUGGUGUAGUUGGUUAUCACAAUGGUUUAACAUUGUCAAAUUCAUGAUUUACUCAUGCAAUUCAAUGUACACCAUAGGUCCUCGGUUCAAGUCCGGGCCGAAUCA